AUAAUGGUUUUUAUCAAAACCAUGAACUGUCAAAAAGUAGAGAUGU
rfam:Amphimedon queenslandica AMPQTscaffold_12649_Cont10756, whole genome shotgun sequence.